GAAAGAAAAAAAAAAAAAGAGAAACACCUCUUCACCUUUUUCUUUGUGCCGUCCAUUACAGAGAAAAAUCCCUAAACAUCAUUCUUCAAUCUUUGGUCUUCACCACUCCAAAACUUAUUUUCUAUCAUCUUACAAACAUCAUACCUCUUUUAAAUAAAAGAAAAACACCAAAAAUACCAUCAAUUGUAUUGAUAUUCUCCAAGUGGGUUUUCUCGAAUUUCAAUCAAUCAUUUGACGUUUUCUUCAAUCGGAAUAAGUAGUGUUUUCAAUGUGAGCGGUGCAGCCAAGGAAGUGAUCCUAGAAAGGCAAUAAAGUUUUGAGUAGGUGGUUUUAUAAUUAUUUUAGAAUUAUGUUUGAUUAUUAUUUGUUUAUUAUGAUUUUGGACUUUGGAGUUUUGGUAUGGUUUGGAACUAUAUUUAUGAAUGUUUGAUGAUUGGUAAUGUGUCUAAUGAUGCAUGUUGAAAGGAAUAAUUGUUGAGCAUGAGUGUGUCCCCUGUUUUGCUAUAUUAUUAUUGAUUUGUAUAGAGGUACCGAUACUCGGGGCUUAAAUAUGGAUACCUUGAUGUUAAAAUGUACAUGCAAGAAAAUAGUAGCUUAAUUUGGUAUCUAUACAUGAGGUAAAAAUAUCGAUACCUAUGAUUAUGUAUCAAUCAAAUGUUUUUGGUUCCAAAAUGAGUUGGAAAAACAAAAUGUUAUAAUGGUAUCAAUUUUCUUAUUAGUAUUAA